GAUGAACGCUGGCGGCGUGCCUAAUACAUGCAAGUCGAGCGAACGGACGAGAAGCUUGCUUCUCUGAUGUUAGCGGCGGACGGGUGAGUAACACGUGGAUAACCUACCUAUAAGACUGGGAUAACUUCGGGAAACCGGAGCUAAUACCGGAUAAUAUUUUGAACCGCAUGGUUCAAAAGUGAAAGACGGUCUUGCUGUCACUUAUAGAUGGAUCCGCGCUGCAUUAGCUAGUUGGUAAGGUAACGGCUUACCAAGGCAACGAUGCAUAGCCGACCUGAGAGGGGGAUCGGCCACACUGGAACUGAGACACGGUCCAGACUCCUACGGGAGGCAGCAGUAGGGAAUCUUCCGCAAUGGGCGAAAGCCUGACGGAGCAACGCCGCGUGAGUGAUGAAGGCCUUCGGAUCGUAAAACUCUGUUAUUAGGGAAGAACAUAUGUGUAAGUAACUGUGCACAUCUUGACGGUACCUAAUCAGAAAGCCACGGCUAACUACGUG
rnacentral:rRNA from 1 species